rnacentral:lncRNA from 1 species
CACACACACACACACACACACACACACAACUUGGAGAUUUACCCACUACACUGUGUUUUGACUGUGAAAUGUUAAUCUGUUUGCUGUUGAUAGAGAUUACGGUAGGAAGAGCCAGGGCAGGCAGUUACAAUGAGGUCCUGACACCCACACUGGCGUGCAGCCUGCCUGGAUAUUGCAAGGCUCUAAAUCUGCCUCUUUGGAGAUGGGACACAAAGGAACUGAUCUUCACAUAAUAGAUGAACUGGGCACUCUUUCUAUCAAGAUUCUAGAUGGCAUUAGCCAAAGAGAAACCUUUCAAGAUAUUCAAAGCAAAAGGAAAUACAAAACAUAUUAUUAUUCAAAGAAAAGAAAAGGAAGAGAGAGAGAAACAUCAUAUGGUACAAACUGCAGCCUGGUGAAUUAA